ensembl:lncRNA LINC02209 long intergenic non-protein coding RNA 2209
AUUGCCUGGAGAUGACAGAAGGCUGAGGAUGGAGAGAGGCACUGAUAGAGGCCAGACCAGACAAGCAGUGCCAAGUCCAUAGUGGGACACCAAAGGGAGGAGGCAAUCCCAGAUGAGGUCCAUCCCAGAACCAGACCUUGCAGGGACCUCAAGGAGCUAUGAACAUAGAAACCCUAUACAUGAUAUCACUUGAAUCCCUCCACAAGGGCUUCUGAUAUUGUCUUAGACCUUUGGAAAGUUCAGGGGUAGUAGCCUCUGGGCCCAUAGUGCUCCCCUGAUGAUGCAGCCCCACCCUCAACUCUUGCCACUGCAGAUGCUCCUUGGGCAGUUUCAUCUGGGCCUUUCACAUCAGCUCCCUCCAAAUGUGACUGGACCUCAAAUGGAUCUUCAGACCCCCAUGCCCAACCACCUCCCAGCUACCUUCCCUGGACAACCCACAGGUCACAUGAUCACCAGGAAGCCCAUGUCUCUGCAUGAUAACCUGGAGAAACCUACAGAUGCCAGGCUUCUGAAUCUCAUUCACCAUGCUUCCCAGGGAUCAAGGAAGAAAUACCCAGAGAUACAGACUGAAAAAUCAGGAAACUGGAUGGGAUUCAGAGCCCUUGGAAUGGAGCCUUCUCAUUCAUUCACCCAACUCCAGUCUAAAACGUGCAGCUCUGAAGCAGGGCUGCUUCAUAGAGACUUGAGUAAAUAGCACAGUAAAGCCCAGGUUUUACCAGUGAGGAGGAGAGUAAAUACACUGAUCAUUUGCAAGAGCACCUCUUCAGAUAUGGCACCUCUCCUUGGAGAGAGGAGACUAUGGAAGACAGGGAGACCAUUCUAGCUGAAGCUCACACCACUUACACAACAAAAGAUCUAAGUCGAAAAGGGAGAGAGUAAAGACCUGGCUCACAUGGGUGUGAAGUGUGCAUGUGGAAACAUUGCAUCUUUAACAUUUCACAACAUCUUGUAGCAGGCUUACUAUGGCAGGAAGGACAAGUGUGGCUGGCCCAGCCAGUGCUGUCCUGCUCAGACCUUCCUAGGCUUUGCAAUGCUGGGAUAAUAGGGAAGCCACACUCAAUGAGCAUCUCUCAGCCUCACAUCUCCUGGUCAACCCAGAAUGCCACAACCACAGGCCGAACCACAGAUCUGGAGGCUGGGAAAUCCAAGAACAUGGCACUGGCAUCAGGCAAGGGUCAGCCCAUGCUGGAGGGCAGAAGGCAGAAGUGAGCAUGUGAGACAGAGAUAAGAAAUUAGGCUGAACUUGCUUGUAUAGCAAACCCAGCCUCUCAAUAACUAACCCGCUCCAGCAAUAAUGGCAUUAAUCCAUUCAUGAGGGCAGAGCCCCCAUGACCUAUUCACAUCCUAAAGGCCCCACAUCAAUCAUAUCUCAACAUGAGGUUCAGAGGACACAAACAUUCAAACCAUAGCAGUCGGUAGAGAGCAUCAACAUAUAUUGUGGAGCAGGAAAGCAAACGUCCAGAGAGAAUGUCUAUGAUGGUACCCAAUGAGUCUAGGACCAGGAUUCUUAUGCUAUGGUCACUCAUAUUUUUGAGUUUCAUCAAAUGAAUGUCCUUCACAUCACCAGCAAGCAGCUUCCACCUUCUGGAUCUUCAGAAUGGUCUUAAAGAUGAGGGAUGGAGGCCAGGCAUGCUGGCUUAUGACUGUAAUCCCAGCAGGAAGCUAGGAGCCCAAGGCAGGAAGAUUGCUUGAGGCUAAGAGUUCAAGAUCAGUUUGGGCAACACAGCAAAAACCUAUCUCUACAAAAACUAAAAAUAAAAAUAAAUCACCUGAGCAUGGUGGUGCAUGCUUAUAGGCUGAGGUGGCUAAGGUGGAAGGAUUGCUUAAGCCCAGGAAGUUGAGACCGCAGAGAGCCAUGAUAGCACCAUUGCACUCUGAGCAACAGGGCAAGACCCCAACUCUAAAAAAAUAAAUAAACAAAUAGAGAUGGAAGGAAGAAUUAAUGGAUAAAGUUUUGAGACUAUCCCACUUAUAAAAGAAUUAUUUUUAUUUCUUGAAUAUAAGAAAGACAGGGUCUUGCCAUAUUGCCCAGGCUGGUCUCGAAUGCCUGGGCUCUAUCAAUCCAACCAUGCCCAGUUAAUGUAUUUAUUUAUAUUUAUUUUUUGUAGAGAUAGGUUCUUGCUAUGAUGCCCAAGCUGAUCUUGAACUCCUGGCCUCAGUUGAGCCACUGUGCCCAGCCUUAGGAGAAUUAUUAAAUGUAUAAGUAAAUGUGAUUCAAUGCUCAUACCUCUCUAAACUUAUUUCAUAAACACAUUCAGAAUCAUAAAAUGAUGGUUCACUUUUUUAACCCACAUUUGUAAAAUAUAGUAAACAUAGCUAUAACUUAAUUACUAUCUUAGCUUGGGUGUCCCUGAAAGCAGAGCUUGAGGCAAAGACUUACGUGUGAUUGUUUUCCUGAGAUACAUGAUUCCAAGGAGAGGAUGUGAAUGACAGUGUCAGCAAGUGAGCAAGGAGGAAGGGUCCCUAGAAAUGGGCAUUGGCAAGUUGGCCUCCACUGUGGGUAAUUGGCUUCUCAGUCCUGAAGGACUAUUUGACAAGCCAUAUGAAAUAUGUUUUAGAACUGUGAAUAGAGGAAGAAACAUUUAUUCACCAGUUUCCAAAACCCAUUGAUCAAAGGUCAUGCCCCAAGUGUUAACACCCCCAGUGCCUUCCAGCUUAUGCAUAUGUGAGCCCUGGUGGGUUUCCAGGCACCUGGCACCCAGACUGCAAUGGCAGAGAAGCCCAGGGUGGGAUGUUAGAGGGCAUAGUAAGGGUCAGAGGCAUCUGCAGGAAGGAACUGAUGAUCCGCAGCAUCUUGUCAUAUUCUGAGAACUUAUUAAAAGCAAGCAAAAGAAACUGUACUUUUUUCUUGAUCUGUCUGUAACCCUUUUAAAGCUGAAAAGGAAAUAAAAGCUUUUUAUUUCAUGGCCUCCUGUGCAAAAAACAUAGGUCAGAUGAAAAAUCAAA